GUCAUUAGCAGAGGAAAUGCAAGCAAUCAUCAGGGGAUUAGAAAAGGUUAAAGAGGAGCUGACUGCAUCAGAAAACGAUGGCCCAGUGACUGAAGUUUUUCGUAAGGCAAUUAUCUCUGGAUGUUCUGUGCUGGAGAGUUGGCUGCAAUUUUAAAUUGUGAUCGAUUCAAAUCACUACUACCUAGAACAACUAAAGUGAAAUGCCUUGCAGAUGCUGGUUAUUUUAUCAAUGUGUGGACAAGCUUAAAGGGGAACUAGAAACACAAAACAAGUAGAAAGGGAACACGGAAACUCGAGUGUUUGUUAGAGAAAAAAGUUAAUGACUUGAACUCAAAAUUAGAAGAUGUAAGUUUUACGUUUACCAACAAUUCUGUUUUAACUAAUGUGCCUUAAGUGCAUCUCAUUAUUGUUUUAACUAAUGUG